GCACCGCCGUGGAGCCCCUGCGUGCCUGCCCGUGGCCCAGGGGUCGGAUGGCUGUGCCAAAGCAGACCCAGCUUGUGCAGAUCCGGGGCUGCUGAGCGUCGCCUUGGUGAUUCCUUUGGCAGCAAGCGACAGGU
rnacentral:snoRNA from 1 species